AUUGAACGCUGGCGGCAUGCCUUACACAUGCAAGUCGAACGGUAACGGGCCUUCGGGUGCCGACGAGUGGCGCACGGGUGAGUAAUACAUCGGAACGUGCCCGAUCGCGGGGGAUAACGAGGCGAAAGCUUUGCUAAUACCGCAUACGAUCUACGGAUGAAAGCAGGGGACCGCAAGGCCUUGCGCGGACGGAGCGGCCGAUGGCAGAUUAGGUAGUUGGUGGGAUAAAAGCUUACCAAGCCGACGAUCUGUAGCUGGUCUGAGAGGAUGAUCAGCCACACUGGGACUGAGACACGGCCCAGACUCCUACGGGAGGCAGCAGUGGGGAAUUUUGGACAAUGGGCGCAAGCCUGAUCCAGCCAUGCCGCGUGCAGGAUGAAGGCCUUCGGGUUGUAAACUGCUUUUGUACGGAACGAAAAGCCUUCUUUUAAUACAGGAGGGUCAUGACGGUACCGUAAGAAUAAGCACCGGCUAACUACGUG
rnacentral:rRNA from 1 species